AAUAUAGUAGGGAUAUAAAGUUGUGAGGAAUUAGGCAAAUACGAUAAUGCAAUAUGGAAAUGUCAUAAAUCACAUAUGGUAACGGUUGAUUAAAAAGGUAAUCGAAUAAAUAAAUAAAACACAUUUGUUGGAAAAAAUUCAAGAAAACGUUCGUCGAUUCCAUCGCCGACGCUUCAACUCGGUGACAUAUGUUGUUCAGAUACAGAGUCAUAUGCGAGCAGUAGAAUGGAGGAAGAGGCUGUGGAAUCGAGGAAGAGUAGGAAGGAGCAAGAAAGAGAAAGGCGGCGUCUAAGAGACAGAGAAAGAAGACAAUCUAUGAGCCAAGAUGAGAGGGAAAAGCAUUUGGCUAGGCGCCGCAAAAACUAUCAGCUGCGAAGGCAGAGAGCUGAGAUAAACCGUCUUGACUCUCAGAUCCAACCAAUCAGUGGAUGCAGCCAAGGAGCAAUGAAUUCACCGCCUGAUUCUGGAGCCAGCUUGGUUGAGUCGUCUGAUCAGAGUGAGGCUCUAGCUCCAUCUAAAGGUGUGGGAAUACCAGUGGAGGAGCUGGCUAAAAUGAUGGGUAGUAUAAGGCUGAGCCGUCUGAAACAUCUGGCUAGGACAUUGAAUAAGUCCAGUACUAAUGGUGCAGAGUCCAGCAACACAGGAGCAUCAGAUGCAAAGACCAGAUGUGCAAUGUCAAGUGGGCUACGUUUGAGUCGGAUGAAACGACUGGUAAGAUCAAAGGGCCAGCAAGAAGGGUCAUUGUCGCAUUCCCAAACGCAAGAACCUGAGCUUCAAUAGAGUGUACAACUUGAACGAGAAACCUCAUCAUCAACUAGUGUUUGUAAAAGUGAACCUAUUAUUGUUUUGGAGAUACAUCUAGGAAACUCACCAUAUUUUGUUUUCAAAUGCAAGUGAGAGAAUACAUCAUAUUCUUCGGUAUUUUUCUUGUCACAGCCAUUUCCUAUCCGACAUUUAUCAUUAUUUGUAGUUCGGAAGAAGAAACGAGAGUUUACAUAUCAUAAUUUACAUAAUAGGUUUUGAAUCUUUGAGAAGGAAGGAUGGCCAUAAGAAGUUUGGUAUGACUAGGGGGGCUAUCUCGUAAAAUUAAAUAUUUUGAUGAUGAAGUUUGGUAGUCCCAAUCAUGGAGCUCCGGAUAAAAGUAGUAAGUAUGUAUGGAUUAUAAAGAGAGAAGGAUGGAAGUUUGCUGAUAAAAAGCAUUUGUGGAGCAAAAAAAUGCUAACAUUGUAAGAUUCAAAUGAACUGUUAAAAAAUAAGUUCUACUGAGAUUAUUAUAUAUAACAUAUUUGGUAA